rnacentral:rRNA from 1 species
GCUACGGGAGGCAGCAGGGAGGAAUAUUGGUCAAUGGCCGGAAGGCUGAACCAGCCAAGCCGCGUGAAGGACGAAGGUGCCAAGCAUUGUAAACUUCUUUUGUCAAGGGACAAAAUCAGGCUCGAGAGCCUGACCGAGGGUACAUGAAGAAAAAGCCUCGGCUAACUCCGUGCCAGCAGCCGCGGUAAUACGGAGGAUGCGAGCGUUAUCCGGAUUUAGUGGGUUUAAAGGGUGCGUACGCGGGCUGUUAAGUCAGCGGUAAAAGCCCGGGGCGCAACCCCGGCGAGCCGUUGAAGCUGGCUGUUUUGAGAUGUCGAGAGGUAUGCGGAAUGCGCAGUGUAGCGGUGAAAUGCUUAGAUAUUGCGCAGAACUCCGAUUGCGAAGGCAGCAUACCGGCGGCGAUCUGACGCUGAGGCACGAAAGCGUGGGUAUCGAACAGGAUUAGAUACCCGAGUAGUC